CCUACGGGGGGCAGCAGUAGGGAAUCUUCCACAAUGGGCGAAAGCCUGAUGGAGCAACGCCGCGUGGGUGAAGAAGGUCUUCGGAUCGUAAAACCCUGUUGUUAGAGAAGAAAGUGCGUGAGAGUAACUGUUCACGUUUCGACGGUAUCUAACCAGAAAGCCCCGGCUAACUACGUGCCAGCAGCCGCGGUAAUACGUAGGUGGCAAGCGUUAUCCGGAUUUAUUGGGCGUAAGGGGAACGCAGGCGGUCUUUUAAGUCUGAUGUGAAAGCCUUCGGCUUAACCGGAGUAGUGCAUUGGAAACUGGGGGACUGGAGUGCAGAAGAGGAGAGUGGAACUCCAUGUGUAGCGGUGAAAUGCGUAGAUAUAUGGAAGAACACCAGUGGCGAAAGCGGCUCUCUGGUCUGUAACUGACGCUGAGGUUCGAAAGCGUGGGUAGCAAACAGGAUUAGAUACCCUGGUAGUC
rnacentral:rRNA from 1 species